UCUAUACUCUUGAGGCUGAACUGGCAUCAUAGAGAUAAGAGAGAUAAAGCAAUUAAGCAACUUGUCCAAAGUCAUGAGUCUGGAAACUUAAAGCCGAGGCAGAAGAGGCAGAGAUGUCUACAGGAUUCAGAAGGAAUGAGUCAGACCUGCCCGCACACACCUUCACACUCACAUCCAGUACUGAUCAAGGUUGGGGCUACAAGAGUGACAUUUUGGGAAGAAGAAGAAGAACAGAGAGGCAGAAUUUUGACAGGACCCUGAUUUGACGGAAUUGACCUGGAAGUGACUACAUUAAUGCUUUCAUCACCACAUGGAACCAAGGUUCAAAACAGAAGAUUGAAAAUAAAAUAUGAACAACAGCAAUAAUAAUGCCACAUUCUGACGCA